rnacentral:rRNA from 1 species
AUUGAACGCUGGCGGCAGGCCUAACACAUGCAAGUCGAGCGGAUGACGGGAGCUUGCUCCUUGAUUCAGCGGCGGACGGGUGAGUAAUGCCUAGGAAUCUGCCUGGUAGUGGGGGACAACGUUUCGAAAGGAACGCUAAUACCGCAUACGUCCUACGGGAGAAAGCAGGGGACCUUCGGGCCUUGCGCUAUCAGGUGAGCCUAGGUCGGAUUAGCUAGUAGGUGAGGUAAUGGCUCACCUAGGCGACGAUCCGUAACUGGUCUGAGAGGAUGAUCAGUCACACUGGAACUGAGACACGGUCCAGACUCCUACGGGAGGCAGCAGUGGGGAAUAUUGGACAAUGGGCGAAAGCCUGAUCUAGCCAUGCCGCGUGUGUGAAGAAGGUCUUCGGAUUGUAAAGCACUUUAAGUUGGGAGGAAGGGCAGUAAGCUAAUACCUUGCUGUUUUGACGUUACCGACAGAAUAAGCACCGGCUAACUCUGUGCCAGCCGCCGCUGUAAUAC